rnacentral:rRNA from 1 species
UACGUAGGGGGCCAGCGUUGUCCGGAUUCAUUGGGCGUAAAGCGCGUGUAGGCGGCCAGGUAGGUCCGAUGUGAAAUCUGGAGGCUCAACCUCCAGCGGUCAUUGGAAACCAUCUGGCUAGAGUCCGGAAGAGGAGAGUGGAAUUCCUGGUGUAGCGGUGAAAUGCGCAGAUAUCAGGAAGAACACCGAUGGCGAAGGCAGCUCGCUGGGACGGUACUGACGCUGAGACGCGAAAGCGUGGGGAGCAAACAGG